GCGCAGGGAUAAUACAGAGAUGAGCCCAGAUAGACAUCAACAUGGUGCAAUCGCUCACGCCGUACUGAGAGAGCGCUUCAGCUCUGAGCUUUUAUGUACUAAGAUAUGUGUCUUGAGGGAUUUUAGUUAUAUUCCAUUCACAAGGUUGUUCUUGAACAGGAGACUAAGAGAGGCAAGUGGAUAAACUCCAAAUUCCUUGCUGCUAAGGUAGGUUGAUAUUUUCAGGUGAGUGCUGCUCUUUCAAAUUCACCUUUUAAGCUUUGUGGAAAUUCAGAGAUGGUCCAUUAUUCUAAUGCAUUGUGAGCAUCAUAUGCAUGUAUUGACUAAAUGAGUAGGUCGUAGCCUGACAAUCUGUUUGUGCAUUGCUUGAUCUAAUUCUUUAAUUGGUUAAGAAUAGGAGUUCAUAUCUUGCUGUCUGCGUUCUUAGCAUUGUCCUUGCAUGUUGGUUGUCUCUGGAUUAUGAGAAGAAAGCCAAUUUCAGUAGGUAGCAUCUUAAGCUUGAAAUUGUUAAGAAAACCAAUUGAGACUGGGAUUCCAAUGGAAUAAGAUACAUAAAAUGUAAGAUUGAUACUUAGCAAAUUGUCUAUGGUGGCGUUCUGUUGGUGGGAAUGGCAUUGUGGGUGGCUUGCUGUAAAUCUGGAUGAUUACUUCUAAUAGUUGGAGUAUGAGUUCUGCCAUGCCGAUAUGGAGGUAGCAACAUCUUACUGGAAAGAUGCCUGUUCGGAUAGUGAAGUAGACUCUUGUUUUAACUUCUGCAUUCUGCACGUCUAAGGGGUCAAAAGAGUUCUUCCAGCCAACUUCAAGACCCGUUGUGGUUACUUUCGUCUUUUUUUAUUCUCACUGAAUUAUUGAUUGAUGUGAGCAGACCUAUCUGAGUGAUCUCAUUUGCUGCGCAUAGGACACGGGGGGGUUUAGUUGGACCUGUAUCCGUUUAUUUCUUAAACUUGUGUAAGGACCCUGGUUUUCUUUUCUUGGUAGGCAUGUAUAAACUUUCAGGCUGAUAAGAGCGAUGUCCAUAAUACAGUGUGACCUAGGUGAAAGUUAAAUUUUGCACGUCAAGUGUAUGCAGUCUCUCUCACAGGAAUAACCUCAAUGUUUUGCCAAUUUGAUGACUUCAAAAGCAUUGUAAUGAUUUAAUCA